rnacentral:pre_miRNA from 1 species
AAACUUGAGAUUUGAUUUCGUCUUACAUUUUUCUCUUAAUAAGCAAAAACAUUUCAAGAAACCCCCCUGCUGUUUUUAAACAGUUAACCUCCUAAAUAUAAGGUAGAAUCGAACCUGAUAGGUUUU